rnacentral:rRNA from 1 species
GGAAGGAUCAUUAAAAAAGGAUACCGGGCAACCGGUAGACCCCACCCGUGUCUCUCUACUCUUGUUGCUUUGGCAGGCCGUGGCCUCCACCGCGGGCUCCGCCUGCGUGUGCCUGCCAGAGGACCAAACUCUGAAUUUUAGUGAUGUCUGAGUACUAUAUAAUAGUUAAAACUUUCAACAACGGAUCUCUUGGUUCUGGCAUCGAUGAAGAACGCAGCGAAAUGCGAUAAGUAAUGUGAAUUGCAGAAUUCAGUGAAUCAUCGAAUCUUUGAACGCACAUUGCGCCCGGUGGUAUUCCGCCGGGCAUGCCUGUUCGAGCGUCAUUAUAACCACUCAAGCCUUGGCUUGGUAUUGGGGUUCGCGGUUCCGCGGCCCUUAAAAUCAGUGGCGGUGCCGGUGGGCUCUAAGCGUAGUAAAUCUCCUCGCUAUAGGGUCCCUCCGGUUGCCUGCCAGAACCCCCCAUUUUUUCAGGUUGACCUCGGAUCAGGUAGGGAUACCCGCUGAACUUAA